UGGCGGACGGGUGAGUAACGCGUGAGUAACCUGCCUUUCAGAGGGGAAUAACGUUUUGAAAAGAACGCUAAUACCGCAUAACGUACAGUUACCGCAUGGUAGCAGUACCAAAGGAGCAAUCCGCUGAAAGAUGGACUCGCGUCCGAUUAGCUAGUUGGUGGGGUAAAGGCCUACCAAGGCGACGAUCGGUAGCCGGACUGAGAGGUUGAACGGCCACAUUGGGACUGAGACACGGCCCAG
rnacentral:rRNA from 1 species